rnacentral:tRNA from 1 species
GGAGAUGUGGCGUAAUGGUAGCGCAGCACCCUGCUAAGGUGUCGUGGUGAAAGCCAUUCCGAGUUCGAGUCUCGGUAUCUCCGA